AAAUUAAAAAAAAAUUAAAAAAAAUAAAACCGACACGUCAUCGUUUUUGAACAGUACCGGUUACCGUUUUGACUUGAUAUAAAAAUAAGCUAAGUUGGAGGUUUCUUUUGAUAAAAGUGUCACUUUAAAGGUUUAAAGUGCUUGUGAAAUACUCUUAGGGUUUAAAGUGUAAGUGACUGCCAUCUUGAAAGUUUUUUAUGCGAUUUUCCUAUAUAUCUAUACUAAUAAAGUUGCUCAGAAACUCUCCUCAGGCUUCCACCUCACCCUUCCAUAUCUUAAAACCCGCCACGUGUCGUCUCCUUUUCUUCUGCUCCGUGUUUUUUAAAAAACAACACUCUCUCCCGUGUUUUUUCUUUAAAAAGCGGAGCUCUUCUUUUUGGGCUUGCAAGUAUUUGUGUUUGGGCUUCUCUAAAAUUGGCCCAUCUUUUUAGGGUUUCACUGUGGGCCGUAGAAGUCGUUCCUUGCUGUCCUUCGAUUCUUCGCUGUUCUUCCGUUCUGUAACGGCGAGCGUUUCUGUUUCUCAUUUCUUUAAUCACAGCAUUAACCCCAGCCCCACUACUCUCCUCACUCUCUGUAAAUUAAACACCAUAAUUAUCAUGAAAUGACGAUGAAGGAGGAUGUGACAACAGAUAGCAGAGGCAAUUGCUUUUUGAGUUGAUUGUUAUCCUCUGAGAUAUGGAGCAAGUAUUCGUCGGGUCAAGGGUUUACCAUUAUCGGCUUUACUCAUUCCAAGAAGCGCUUUCAUGGCCGUUUCUUAAUGUUUGUUUGCUCUUACUCGAGACUGUGAGAUGCAGUGGGUUACCAGGUAUUUGGGAGUCAGUACUGUGACUUCGACAAAGGCACUCUCCGCUGCGAUAUUAAUAUCUCAGUCCGUCCUAUUACACAAGCGAAGUUUGGCAGCAAGGUGGAAAUGAAGAAUUUGAAGGAGUUUUCACCAAUUGACAGGGCCAAGCCAACCAGCUUAUGGGGAGAGAAGUAACUCAGACAGGAACAAUAAUGAAUACAUGAAUAUUGACGGAGAGGUGAGAAAGCUGACUAAUGCCCUGCAGAAGAUGUUGCACAACUUCUGGAGGAGUGAAGACCCGGACCGUAGACCCCUGCCACAGUGCAUACAUGACUUAGUUGGGAGCACUUCUACUUAUUGAAGCUUUCCCAUUCAACUGCUCCUCCAAGCAUCAGCCGUUCACCAUAUCUCGAAUCUUUGACCGCGACCAGUGUUCACCACUGCCAAACUUUGCUGUAAAUGGAGCGAUAACAACCCCGGAGAUGAUAUCUCUGGAACAGUAAGCAGUAGCAGUUACAACUUACCUUUACUGGUGAGUGUGUGACUAGGGGAGCCCCUGCUACAAAUGCUUGUGGGGUUAUGGAGGGAGCUUCUGCUGCUGCAGGUGUUUCGCAUGAUGAACCUGUCCAUGGUGUAAUAACUGCUGAUGGUCCACCACUCCGGAGGCUGAUCCAGCAAAGCUGAAGUUCCCAGCAUCGUGUGUCGCCAACUCAAGCGUCCACCACUGCUUGGAUUUUUGUCUUCAUUUGAGUAAAAAUAAAUUGUUUAAGAUCACGAUACUUAUUUCAAUGCUUUUGUUGUUGGUUUUUUUUUUUUACUUUUUCUUAGCAUUGUCAUCACAAAAACUUUGUAUCAGCAGUGGUUUUAAAAAAAAUAUUUAUUGCUCUUCAACAAACUACAUUCCUGUUUGCUUAAAAAGAAGCUAUAUUCCUGUUGCUAUUUGAGAGCUGGUCCUACCGCUUAAAUAAACAUAGUAGGUAGCUCCUCCUGAUUUUGCUUCCAUAUUUUACAGAAGUUGAUUUAGCAAACAAACCUUGACGAAAUGAAAUAAAUAUAUUGAUUGCCUCCAUGAGUUCUGGGUGAUUUAAACUGAGUUCUUCCGUACACAUUUAGACACUGGCAUAAUGCAGCGCUAUGGAUAAAAUCAUUUAACGUUCAAGGGUGUUGUCCUUACAGAACGUCACCGGCAAAUACUGUAUCAGCAGCAGCAUUGGUGAUUAGGAGGUUACGACCACUGACUCCCAUGCUCUAUAAAACUGAGCUUCGUUAGUUGCGUUUCCUGUUUUCCCACUGUAGGAACGUACAUCCGCAUUAGCAAGUUUGUGAAGGAUAAGAAGAUGAUGGCUCCCGACUGUCAGGUCCCAAAGAUGAUGGCUUCUUUGCGUCAAGUUUAUGUUAAAAACUUAAAAAUAUAAAUAACACGAAUAUACAAAAGUAGUUUGGUGCAAAAUCGAAAGAUCAUAAAUAAAGUAUCUUCUGCUAUUUGUCCAAGUAAUGCAAAGAAGAUAUAUUUUUUCCUUUUGUGUUGAGAGAACAUUUGACCUCAAAACGUUUAUAGCUUAUCGGAUUUUAACUGCGUCUACAGUUUAUAGAGAGUACGAGAAGUCACAGUCCUAUUCUAUGUUAGCCUCAACCGCAUUGUUUCACGGAAUCUCGAGUGGUGUCGCUGACCAAGAAUGACAUCACGCAUACAACGAUCAAUGGACUUGAAAAUCUGGGCAGUGGUGGAUGUCUCGAGUUCAUGAAUUUGUUUUUUUUUUGGCUAAAUAGUUCGUUCAUGAAUUCUUCUCAAGCGAGAUAUUAUAUAACUAUUGCCUGAACUGCCAAGCGUUUAAGGAUGAGAAACAAUGAAAAGACUUUGAUCUAUAUCAAACAUACAACUACACGGUUCACAAAAAGUAACCCUUCUGUUCAAACUCGCAAAACCCUACAAGUAUAGAACUACAUAGACCCAUACAUACUGACGCACAGAAAGCAAUAACAGAUCCAUAUAAUGUGAUUUCACAUUUCAUCAAACUCACACCAACGUAAAUAAAAAUAGGGUAAAUCUCACGAAAUAUUUACUAGAUCAGGGAACUAAAUUUACAAUAAAAUGAUGGACAACCACAACCAAAAAUUAAUACAUAAUAGAAUUUAAAAUAUAAUAAUUUUUAUAAGAAAAAUGUAAAUAAAAGAAAUAUUAAAAUUAAAAAUUUAGUUACAAUACAUAAUAUAAGUUGAAUAACAUAAAAAAAACUUUUUUAAUAAGGUGAAAAAACUUAGUAACAAAAAAAAAUAGUUUAAAAUACAUCAUAUAACUCAAUAAUUCAUUUUAUGAAUAAAUAUAAAUUUAAUAAAAGAAAAUGAGAAAGAAAAUAUACUUAUUAUGUUGCUUUUUCAGAUUUCAUAAAUAUAACAAGAUAAAUAAAAAGUGAAUUUAAUGAAACUUUUUUUUCUUCAUUUUGGUCACAAUAUUAAUACAUAGAAAACUUGAAAUAAUUAAGGAAAACAAUCAAAUAUUAAUAGAUAAUCAAAACACAGAUGAAUAAAAGUUAGGAACUAAUUUACGAUAUUGUGUUUUCAAAUUUCAUCAAACCAAAAUUAACAAAAAUAAAUAAUUUUGACAGAUUUUUUUUUGCUUUCUGAUCACUAAACUCAAACCAUCAAAAAUAAACAAGAAAUUGAUAAAAAAAUAACUUAACAAAAAAUACAUAAUCAAAAAUAAUAUUUAGAAAACAAUCAAAAACUUAAAGUAAACCUAUAGCAAAUACACAAUAAACAAAUGAACAUUUUUUUAAAAAAUAUUGUUCCAUUAUAUAAAGAACAGAUUAAAGUAAUUGUAUUCGAAUAAAUAUGUAAAAUAAAAAAAAUAUUUCUUGAAUUCUAAAAACCUUAUCCUAACAAAUCAAAUACUGAUAUGGUAAUUAUAUAUAAAUAUAGUGCAAGCAAGAAAUACAAUGUAAAAUAAUGGGAGAAGCAUAUUAAGAUUAUAAAUAAAACUAUGUCAACCAUGGUCUAAAAUAAAACAAAUAAAUCAAAUAAAUUACAUUGCUAAAAUAAAAAUAUCUUCACUAAAACUCUUUAAAUUAUGAAGUUUGGUUAACCUAAAUUAGAAUGAAGCUAACUAUCAUAACAUCAAAUAACUUCAACCUAAAAGAUGAUAAAAAUAAAAUAAAAAUGAAUCAAAAAGUAUACACAAUAUAUAAUUAAAUAGUAAAAAUAUAAAUAGCUAACAAAUAAAUAUUUUUUAAAGUCAAAUCCCCGCGCGAAGCGCGGACCAACCACUAGUCUAAUUAUAUAAAGUAAUGUGUGCUUCUCUCACAUGAAGCCACGUCACUAAGUCGGAUGUCCACAGCGCGACACCUGUCCCUUUUACAGAAACUCUGCUUUUCAUUUAACUUUAGGCGGAAAAACUUUGGGCUUUCUGGUGUUUUUAUAAUUACAGCCCAAAAUCAAUCAGACCUUUUGUCUUCAUCUCUUUACGCCGCUAGGGUUCGUGUUCUUCGAAUAAGCUAUCUCUAAGAAAAAUCAGAAGCGUUCCCACACACCUGGUGUUUUGAGGAAUUUUGCUGAAUGAAAUCGAGAUGAAGAAUCUCUUUGUUUAUCUCCACUCGCGUCGUGUACUCUUCUAUUCUACUAAACCGAAGCCGUCCCUUCUGAAGAACAAGAAGUAUUUUUCUCGACAAAUCUGACUCUGCAUUGUCUCGAUCGAUGUUCCAUCCCCUCGCUCCGAUACCGUCGUUUGUUGCAUUCAAAAAUACUCAUUUAGGCUAGCUUUUAACACCACUGACCCACGUCUCCCAGACCUAUAAAUAAGGGUUCUCGGUCUGCUAGAUUCACCAGAUUCUCCUUUUGGCAUCAUUGGAAUCCUUAGAAAAUCUCGCACCAGGAAUGGCUGUCCCAACGAUUUUACUCGCCAACUUCAAAGCUGGAAGCCAUUCCAACACCGUCAGAGUCCGAUUGUUUAGAUUCUGGGAAGUCUGAAACUUUAAGAAAUGCGGCAAACUCAUGGCUUAAGUGUCUCAUGGGUGUCGACAUGCUCCUCAGGUCCUGUUAACACACACUGGUUAACGCUUUCAAACAGGAAGGCUCAUUUAUAAACCAUUAUAAACCAUUACUUUCAUUAUAAACAUUUGGAUUUGGAUGAUGUUGAGGUCAAACUUGGAGAGCUAGAAGAUUUUGAAAUCAAUGCUAUUAAUGACAAGCUGCAUCGCUCUUACAAUGUAACUUAUGGAGUACAAGCUCCUUCUUGACAAGGCUGGUGAUCUUUUUGCUUCAGCCUUUAAAAGUGUUACCACUCAACAGAGGUAGAUAGAAUCAUAACAAGUGGGUGAAGACGACCUCGAGGCUCUUUCUGUAGGAAGUACGAGACUUGCGACCGUUUUACCUUUUUAAGUUGUGUUUUCUGCAAAUGGCGUACAAGCUGUCCUUCCUAACAUGAGAAUUCUAUUGAUCCAACAAAGCAAGUAAAGCUUGGAUUCGGUACUAGGCUGGAGCCUCGCAAAAAGUCUAUGGUGUUCAAGAGGAUCAUAUUUUGUUCAACUAGGGCAACAUCUUAAUACAACAGUUUUUCAUUGAGGAGUUUGUUGUUGAUCCCAACUCUGGGGAGAAGGUUAACUUCUUAUUUUCUACUCUUAGCUUUUUACACAUUAAAAGUGCAGCCUUUUUCUAUUUGCAGGAGUUUUACUGCUUUCUUAAUGUAUAUUUUUUUCUCCCCAUAGGCUCAUGCAAGUAUAAAUUCUAUAUGUAGUUUAUACGUUCUCAUCUGCAUAUGUUUAUAUUUGAUGUUGGUACUGCCUCCAUGGUUAUUAUAUUUUGUUUUGUUGA